UACGGAGGGGGCUAGCGUUGUUCGGAGUUACUGGGCGUAAAGGGUGUGUAGGCGGUUGUUUAAGUUUGGUGUGAAAUCUCCCGGCUCAACUGGGAGGGUGCGCCGAAUACUGAAUGACUUGGAGUGCGGGAGAGGAAAGUGGAAUUCCUGGUGUAGCGGUGAAAUGCGCAGAUAUCGGGAGGAACACCUAUGGCGAAGGCAGCUCGCUGGGACGUUACUGACGCUGAGACGCGAAAGCGUGGGGAGCAAACAGG
rnacentral:rRNA from 1 species